UACGAAGGGGGCUAGCGUUGUUCGGAAUUACUGGGCGUAAAGCGCACGUAGGCGGAUACUUAAGUCAGGGGUGAAAUCCCGGGGCUCAACCCCGGAACUGCCUUUGAUACUGGGUAUCUCGAGUCCGGAAGAGGUGAGUGGAACUCCGAGUGUAGAGGUGAAAUUCGUAGAUAUUCGGAAGAACACCAGUGGCGAAGGCGGCUCACUGGCCCGGUACUGACGCUGAUGUGCGAAAGCGUGGGGAGCAAACAGG
rnacentral:rRNA from 1 species